rnacentral:rRNA from 1 species
UACAGAGGGUGCGAGCGUUAAUCGGAAUUACUGGGCGUAAAGCGCGUGUAGGCGGCUGGUCAAGCGUGGUGUGAAAUCCCCGGGCUUAACCUGGGAACUGCAUUUGUGACUGCAUCGCUGGAGUGCGGCAGAGGGGGAUGGAAUUCCGCGUGUAGCAGUGAAAUGCGUAGAUAUGCGGAGGAACACCGAUGGCGAAGGCAAUCCCCUGGGCCUGCACUGACGCUCAUGCACGAAAGCGUGGGGAGCAAACAGG